rnacentral:siRNA from 1 species
UUUAUAUCGUUCUCACAUCCGCUA